CCUACGGGAGGCAGCAGUGGGGAAUAUUGCACAAUGGGGGAAACCCUGAUGCAGCGACGCCGCGUGAGUGAAGAAGUAUUUCGGUAUGUAAAGCUCUAUCAGCAGGGAAGAAAUAAAGUCCUUCGGACUUUGGACGGUACCUGACUAAGAAGCCCCGGCUAACUACGUGCCAGCAGCCGCGGUAAUACGUAGGGGGCAAGCGUUAUCCGGAUUUACUGGGUGUAAAGGGAGCGUAGACGGCAGCGCAAGUCUGGAGUGAAAUCCCAUGGCUUAACCAUGGAACUGCUUUGGAAACUGUGCAGCUGGAGUGCAGGAGAGGUAAGCGGAAUUCCUAGUGUAGCGGUGAAAUGCGUAGAUAUUAGGAGGAACACCAGUGGCGAAGGCGGCUUACUAGACUGUAACUGACGUUGAGGCUCGAAAGCGUGGGGAGCAAACAGGAUUAGAUACCCUAGUAGUC
rnacentral:rRNA from 1 species